UAUUUUUUGUUGGUAAUAUGGAUGCACUUGCCGUUGCUGGUAUUGCCUAAUAAUACGACUAACCAUGCACAUGUCAGCUUCGUGUGAUAUUAUGUCUUUCAUUUAUAUAUCUUUGAUUUGACCCUCCAUCUUUCAACAACUUUCUUAUGGAAUACUAAACCAAACUCAGUUUACUUUGAUGCUAAUUUAUUUAGCUCUUUGUUCCAUUGCAGGAGAUUAUCAACUCACUUUUUGUUUACAGGAAAAUUUAUUGACACUCAAGAGUCAAGACAAAUGCAACAAAUUUUUGAAGUUGUGUUCUACCACUUCCCACAAUAAAUAAAAGAAAUUAUAGAAAGAAGGUCAACUCAUUGUUCUUCAAUCCGUUCAAUUAAUGGAUCUUGGCUACGGCAUCUGGUGAUGCAACUAUUAAGUAUUUUACUUGUGAAAACUAUCAAGAAGCUUGCAUGCUUCCGACAACUGUGACUGAUUUUCUUUAUUGUUACCUCUUUACGUCAGUCUUAAUUUUCUGUUUUUCAUUGGUCAGUUAAUCUACCUGC